AGCAGCCGCGGUAAUUCCAGCUCCAAUAGCGUAUAUUAAAGUUGUUGCAGUUAAAAAGCUCGUAGUUGAAUUUCGGGGUUAGUAGGUUGGUCAUGCCUCUGGUAUGUACUGGUCUCACUGAUUCCUCCUUCCUGAUGAGCCGUAGUGCCAUUAAUUUGGUGUUGCGGGGAAUUUGGACUGUUACUUUGAAAAAAUUGAGUGUUUAAAGCAAGCUAACGCUUGAAUACAUUAGCAUGGAAUAAUGAAAUAGGACGUUCGAUCCUAUUUUGUUGGUUUCUAGGAUUGACGUAAUGAUUAAUAGGGAUAGUUGGGGGCAUUAGUAUUCAAUUGUCAGAGGUGAAAUUCUUGGAUUUAUUGAAGACUAACUACUGCGAAAGCAUUUGCCAAGGAUGUUUUCAUUAAUCAAGAACGAAAGUUAGGGGAUCGAAGACGAUCAGAUACCGUCGUAGUCUUAACCAUAAACUAUGCCGACUAGGGAUCGGAUGAUGUUAAUUUUUUAAUGUACUCAUUCGGCGCCUUA
rnacentral:rRNA from 1 species